rnacentral:lncRNA from 1 species
CCUGGCUCAGUUUGUAGCUUAAAUGUACUCCAUUAUUGCCUGUCAUAGUUUGUAUUUCGAGUAUGUUUAGUUUAAUACUACGAACCAGUGAAUUACAGCAGAGAGAGAUCCUGAGCUCAGCUCUUCAGAGAUAAUGAAGAAAAGGUAUUUCUCUCCUUCCAGACACAAAUCUGGUAUGAAUACAGCCUGUAUUCUGCAAGAAACAACAGAAAUUGAUGCAACUACUGUGAGGCUAAUACCAGCUUUUCCUCUGAAGAAAUGAAUGGAUCAUAAAAACAAUUUUGCUAUAAACACUGUUUUCCUAUCUAAUAUACCAAUACAAUGUACAUCAAAGCACGCUAUGCAG